rnacentral:rRNA from 1 species
GGGGGAUAACAUUUGGAAACAGAUGCUAAUACCGCAUAACAACAAAAGCCACAUGGCUUUUGUUUGAAAGAUGGCCUUGGCUAUCACUCUGGGAUGGACCUGCGGUGCAUUAGCUAGUUGGUAAGGUAACGGCUUACCAAGGCGAUGAUGCAUAGCCGAGUUGAGAGACUGAUCGGCCACAAUGGAACUGAGACACGGUCCAUACUCCUACGGGAGGCAGCAGUAGGGAAUCUUCCACAAUGGGCGCAAGCCUGAUGGAGCAACACCGCGUGAGUGAAGAAGGGUUUCGGCUCGUAAAGCUCUGUUGUUGGAGAAGAACGUGCGUGAGAGUAACUGUUCACGCAGUGACGGUAUCCAACCAGAAAGUCACGGCUAACUACGUGCCAGCAGCCGCGGUAAUACGUAGGUGGCAAGCGUUAUCCGGAUUUAUUGGGCGUAAAGCGAGCGCAGGCGGUUGCUUAGGUCUGAUGUGAAAGCCUUCGGCUUAACCGAAGAAGUGCAUCGGAAACCGGGCGACUUGAGUGCAGAAGAGGACGGUGGAACUCCAUGUGUAGCGGUGGAAUGCGUAGAUAUAUGGAAGAACACCAGUGGCGAAGGCGGCUGUCUGGUCUGCAACUGACGCUGAGGCUCGAAAGCAUGGGUAGCGAACAGGAUUAGAUACCCUGGUAGUCCAUACCGUAAACGAUGAGUGCUAGGUGUUGGAGGGUUUCCGCCCUUCAGUGCCCGGAGCACAGAGCAUUAACGCCCUCCGCCUGGGGAGUCGAACAGCAAGGUAGAAAAUCAAAGAAAUUAACAGGGGCCCGCACAAGCGGUGGAGCAAGUGGUUUAAUUCGAAGCUACGCGAAGAACCUUACCAGGUCUUGACAUCUUGCGCUAACCUUAGAGAUAAGGCGUUCCCUUCGGGGACGCAAUGACAGGUGGUGCAUGGUCGUCGUCAGCUCGUGUCGUGAGAUGUUGGGUUAAGUCCCGCAACGAGCGCAACCCUUGUUACUAGUUGCCAGCAUUAAGUUGGGCACUCUAGUGAGACUGCCGGUGACAAACCGGAGGAAGGUGGGGACGACGUCAGAUCAUCAUGCCCCUUAUGACCUGGGCUACACACGUGCUACAAUGGACGGUACAACGAGUCGCAAGCUCGCGAGAGUAAGCUAAUCUCUUAAAGCCGUUCUCAGUUCGGACUGUAGGCUGCAACUCGCCUACACGAAGUCGGAAUCGCUAGUAAUCGCGGAUCAGCAUGCCGCGGUGAAUACGUUCCCGGGCCUUGUACACACAGCCCGUCA